CAGAAUUGUCCAAUAUGUUUGGAGGACAUUCACACAUCCCGUGUUGUUGCUCAUGUCUUGCCAUGUGGACAUCUUUUACAUAGAACGUGUUAUGAAGAAAUGUUGAAAGAGUGAGCUACAGAUGUCCAUUAUGUAUGCACUCUGCUUUAGAUAUGACCAGGUAUUGGAGACAGCUGGAUGAUGAAGUAGCACAGACUCCUAUGCCAUCAGAAUAUCAGAACAUGACUGUGGAUAUUCUCUGCAAUGACUGUAAUGGACGAUCCACUGUUCAGUUUCAUAUAUUAGGCAUGAAAUGUAAGAUUUGUGAAUCCUAUAAUACUGCUCAAGCUGGAGGACGUAGAAUUUCACUGGAUCAGCAAUGACGAGCCUACACAGUACUGGAGAACUUGGCAUUUUCUGAUAUAGAAAAAGGCUUUCCUUGGUAUCGUGUUAUCAUGUGUCGUCAUCUAUGCAUUAGAGUUGAUGUGUUUUGUACUAGUGUCACAGCAUAAAAUCAUAUUACAAGUACGUAAGGAUUCAGGGUCUCUUGAUAGACUUAUCAUAGCUCUAUAUUGAAUGAAAGCCACUGUGCUUGUGUUUUGAUUGGAAAUUCCUUUAGUGUCAGUUUUUUGGAAGCCAAUGAUGUUUGCCACUGAUACAUUCAUAGAAGUGUAUUAUAUUUUCAUGAAGCUUUGCUUUAAGUGACACUACGCGUGCAGUUCAUUUCUAGUUCUUGAUAGAACUGCACUUAAUUUUCAGUAGUAGUCUUGACUUUUUAAGGGCUGUGUUAUAUUAAGUUCUCCCUUACUGUUAAAACCUAAUUAAAUAUGCUUUAGAAUUUUCUAAGACAGUCCUCUGGAUCCUCUAAAUGUGAAUUUUGAUGUAAUAACUGCUAAUAAAAUUAUAUUGAAA
rnacentral:lncRNA from 1 species